GUACACUCCUACGGGAGGCAGCAGUGGGGAAUUUUGGACAAUGGGCGAAAGCCUGAUCCAGCAAUGCCGCGUGAGUGAAGAAGGCCUUCGGGUUGUAAAGCUCUUUUGUCAGGGAAGAAACGGUGAAAGCUAAUAUCUUUUGCUAAUGACGGUACCUGAAGAAUAAGCACCGGCUAACUACGUGCCAGCAGCCGCGGUAAUACGUAGGGUGCAAGCGUUAAUCGGAAUUACUGGGCGUAAAGCGUGCGCAGGCGGUUUUGUAAGUCUGAUGUGAAAUCCCCGGGCUCAACCUGGGAAUUGCAUUGGAGACUGCAAGGCUAGAAUCUGGCAGAGGGGGGUAGAAUUCCACGUGUAGCAGUGAAAUGCGUAGAUAUGUGGAGGAACACCGAUGGCGAAGGCAGCCCCCUGGGUCAAGAUUGACGCUCAUGCACGAAAGCGUGGGGAGCAAACAGGAUUAGAAACCCGUGUAGUCCCAUG
rnacentral:rRNA from 1 species